rnacentral:rRNA from 1 species
UAACGCGUGGAUAACCUGCCGUAUACCGGGGGAUAACACUUAGAAAUAGGUGCUAAUACCGCAUAAGCGCACGGCUCCGCAUGGGGCAGUGUGAAAAACUCCGGUGGUAUACGAUGGAUCCGCGUCUGAUUAGCUAGUUGGCGGGGUAACGGCCCACCAAGGCAGCGAUCAGUAGCCGGCCUGAGAGGGUGGACGGCCACAUUGGGACUGAGACACGGCCCAAACUCCUACGGGAGGCAGCAGUGGGGAAUAUUGCACAAUGGGGGAAACCCUGAUGCAGCGACGCCGCGUGAGUGAAGAAGUAUCUCGGUACGUAAAGCUCUAUCAGCAGGGAAGAAAAUGACGGUACCUGACCAAGAAGCCCCGGCUAACUACGUGCCAGCAGCCGCGGUAAUACGUAGGGGGCAAGCGUUAUCCGGAUUUACUGGGUGUAAAGGGAGCGUAGACGGCCAUGCAAGCCAGGGGUGAAAGCCCGGGGCCCAACCCCGGGACUGCCCUUGGAACUGUGCGGCUGGAGUGCGGGAGGGGCAGGCGGAAUUCCUAGUGUAGCGGUGAAAUGCGUAGAUAUUAGGAGGAACACCGGUGGCGAAGGCGGCUUACUGGACUGUAACUGACGUUGAGGCUCGAAAGCGUGGGGAGCAAACAGGAUUAGAUACCCUGGUAGUCCACGCCGUAAACGAUGAUUACUAGGUGU